GAGAGCUUAACGGGAGGAUCACUCAUCUUGGAAACAACAAUCUAGAAUGUCCUGGUUCUGAAAGUGGAUCAGUUAGGUUUCUUUCAUGCUACAUGAAUGGGCUUUUAUGCAGAGACAACAGAUUUCCAGUACACAAGACAGGAUUCAUGCUGCUUCCUUUUUUCCACUGUCCCAGGAAAAGAGGAGUGACUCCAGCAGUUCCUUAGAUCUGGGUUUUUCUCACACACCCAGAAUUUGCUUUGGUGAAGGCAGCCAGGCAAGUCAGGAAGGAGACCACUCAACACGUAAAGAAUGUCAUGCUGCUUUCUUCCUAUGGCUUCUUUCUAAUCUGGAGAUUCUCAAAGUGGGGAGAAAUGAAAGAAAAAAAAAAGGAAGAGAAACUAAAAAAUGUGGUAUUAGAGUCUAAAAGGAACAGAGAGAGUUUCUAAAAGGAACUAGUGGCAAAGUGAAAAAAAUUCCCAGAUAGGGAAAAUAGGUUUAGAAAGAAUGCUGUUGUUAGUUUUAGCUAAAAGAAAGUUCCAGAAAACUCCUGAAAAAGCUUCAGUUUCUGUGCAGAAGCGAAGCUCACAGGGAGGAAGGAUGUAAAUUGACUGAGUAACAGAAUAAAGGAGAGAGUUGAGAUGAAUGAUCGAAGCAGAAGUGAAUUAUUUUUCAAAGAAAUGGGAUGGCAUUUAUCUGAAAAUAACUAACAAAAUAAGCAUUUUGUUCCAUCAGUCUGUAUGUCUGUUACAUUGUUAACAUCACAGGGUCUAAAUUAUGGAACUCCAUACAUAGUAAAGCUUGAAAUCUGUA